rnacentral:lncRNA from 1 species
AAAAAAAUGACAAGAAUAAUUUAUUGAGAACUCCAUGUAGUCAGGAGUAAGACAUUUCUGCCUCUAAAUCCCAGUAACAUGCCGACAAACCAUUCAUAAAUUUUAAGUAGCACCAUGCAGAUUAUCUGGAAAGAAAAUACAAACAAACAUAAGAAAAUUCUCAACCUCCCCCAUCCAUCAAUAAAGUGAGACCAACAACCACUUAGGUUAGGAGUAGCAUGCUCGAGCCAUGUAGCAAGUGAACCAGUAACACUGGGACUACUUCAUCUAUAAAAAUAUGCAAACUGGUCGAGAAUACAAAACCAGUUAAAUAAAGGUCAAGAUUACUGCUAGUGUUGUGAACAAGUUCAGUCAUUUUCCCAUUCUCAACCUCAGGGCUCACGCGGUAUGAAUUUCCAUUGGAUAAAAAAGCUAAUACUAUGUUUUUUUAGUUUUCCAUCUCUAUCUUUCCAAUAAAAUAUGGUGUUAUCUUUUCCAUGGUCUUUAGUUUUCAGCUUUCAGCCUAUACAUGGUGCGUAAAUGAUUACUGAAUUGCUCCUCCCUAUCCAGACUAAUUGAUUUCAACCGCCAAAUCACAGCAGAGAGGACGAACAGUGAAUAAAUUGGAUGGGAAGGAGUUGCAAUACCUGUGGAUGGGUUGGAGACGGCAAGGUCGCAGGCAAGGACACCAUCCAAGCAUAUGUUUAUGUUUUUGUGAAACUGGGGAAGGAUGUGAAAACUGAGCUGCAAGUAAAACCAUAGCUUCCUUUUGUUUAGGUUCUGCUGAGAAGUCCCAUAGCAUGAUAUCUUCAGAACAGCAUGUGGUGUGCCAGUGGCAUCCAAACAAAAAGAUUUGGAACAGGGAGAAUAGAAAUACACCAAAAGAGAACAUCAUCGUCUUUGAAAUUUUUCUCACGCCUGGCCUAAUUGCAAAGAUAUUCUUAAAUGCCCAUAUAUUUAUUUAGCUAAUUACUAUAAGCAAGAUAAGCCGACCUCAUACAAAAAG